UACAGAGGUCUCAAGCGUUGUUCGGAUUCAUUGGGCGUAAAGGGUGCGUAGGCGGCGCGGUAAGUCGGAUGUGAAAUCUUGGAGCUUAACUCCGAAACUGCAUUCGAUACUGCCGUGCUUGAGGACUGGAGAGGAGACUGGAAUUCAUGGUGUAGCAGUGAAAUGCGUAGAGAUCAUGAGGAAGACCAGUGGCGAAGGCGGGUCUCUGGACAGUUCCUGACACUGAGACACGAAGGCCAGGGGAGCAAACGGG
rnacentral:rRNA from 1 species